AAUAGAUACCCCGGUAGUCCACGCCGUAAACGAUGUCGACUUGGAGGUUGUUCCCUUGAGGAGUGGCUUCCGGAGCUAACGCGUUAAGUCGACCGCCUGGGGAGUACGGCCGCAAGGUUAAAACUCAAAUGAAUUGACGGGGGCCCGCACAAGCGGUGGAGCAUGUGGUUUAAUUCGAUGCAACGCGAAGAACCUUACCUACUCUUGACAUCCAGAGAACUUAGCAGAGAUGCUUUGGUGCCUUCGGGAACUCUGAGACAGGUGCUGCAUGGCUGUCGUCAGCUCGUGUUGUGAAAUGUUGGGUUAAGUCCCGCAACGAGCGCAACCCUUAUCCUUUGCUGCCAGCGGUUCGGCCGGGAACUCAAAGGAGACUGCCAGUAAUAAACUGGAGGAAGUGGGGAUGACGUCAAGUCAUCAUGGCCCUUACGAGUAGGGCUACACACGUGCUACAAUGGCGUAUACAAAGAGAAGCGACCUCGCGAGAGCAAGCGGACCUCAUAAGUACGUCGUAGUCCGGAUUGGAGUCUGC
rnacentral:rRNA from 1 species